UUCUCGGCCUCAGAGUCCAAUGGCUCUGGACGCGCUUGAGGAGCCCUUCAACCCGCUGCUGCGCUGUGGGGGCCCCUCUCUGGGGCUGGCCGAGGCAGGAGCCGGCUCCCUCUGCUCACGGGGAGGUGUGGAGGGAGAGGAACGUCUGGGAGCCAGGGCCGCAAGCGGCACUCAGGGGCCUGCGCGGGUUCGGGUGGGCCGGGCUCAGAAGGCCCCGCGCUCAGCGCAGCCAGCCGGUGCCUGCUGGGCUUGAUCAGGAGAUGAGUUCCCUCUGGGCUGCCAGAGUGCCUGGGCUAGGUGCUGCAAAGUCCUAUAGCGACUGCCAUUGAGAAGUGAAGCCGGCUAGGCUUCUGGGUCAGUAAAUCUUGCUGCUGCUCACUUUUUGGGUCUGCACCACCUUUAUGAGCUGUAACACUCACCGCGAAGGUCUGCAGCUUUACACCUGAAGCCAGGGAGACCACGAACUCAUCAGGAGGAACGAACAACUCCAGACGCGCGGCCUUUAAGAGCUGUAACACUCAACGCGAAGGUCUGCAGCUUCACUCUUGAAGUCAGCGAAACCGCAAACCCACCAGAAGGAAGAAACUCCGGACACAUCUGAACACCUGAAGGAACAAACCCCGGACACACCAUCUCUAAGAACUGUAACACUCACCGCCAGGGUCCGCGGCUUCAUUCUUGAAUCAGUGAGACCAAGAACCCACCAAUUCCAGACACAGAAGUUACUGAACCCCAACAUUUUGGUUUGGAGUACUCUCUUCAGAAGUGUUCAAGGUUCAAAUUGAGGUCUUCUGUUGUCAUGGAAUAACUUUCUCAACAAUGUGUCUGAUGUUACAGAUGUACAACCAGUGAGGUCAAUAGUUGACAGAUGGACGUUGAAGCCAUGCAAUUACACCUCCCAAACCAUUAUAAAGAAUGUAACAGAAGAAAGGUGGAACCCAGUCUAAAACACACCAAACAAUAAAAGGCACUAAAAUAAUUGCUUCACAUUUAAUGAAUCUUUCUUUAAUAUGACAACCAAUCCAAGAAUCUUUGAAUUCCCUUUCCCUGGUAAAAGUCAAAACAUUUUUGAGGCGGUGGCAGUUUAUCUAAAUUACUGUUUUUUCUCCAUCAGUCUUUAGGCUUAAUCUCAUUUGCUUUUAUGGAUAUGGUAACCCUUUUGAAUAGCUUUUAACCUUUUAAAAGUCGCCUUGACCCGAAGAGCCUAAAAAUUUUUAAUAUAAUAUUGAAUGAUAAAAAUUGAACAAUUGAGUGCUUUUCUGACUCUCAGUCUGCAUGCAGUGCUCUGGGUCGUACAGCAGAAUUUCUGGCUGAAUGAAAAAAAAUUAAAAUACCUGUAUAUAGCUUGCUUGUAGCAGAAACCUUCAGCUCUGACCUCCGUUUCAUUGGCUCCAUUGUUCCUUGUGCCCCCACAGUAUCUUGGCUUUCUCUUUUCCAGAGAAAGAGUGUGUUUUAUCCUGCAGCACGUCAGCUUCAAAGGGCUCUUACUUCAAGUGUCCAGCGCAUCAUUCUGGUAAAUUAAGAAAUCCUCGGCUUAAGAUCGUCUCUUUCAAUCACAUAUAAUGUGGGUAACUUCAUGACUAAACAUUAUA
rnacentral:lncRNA from 1 species